rnacentral:rRNA from 1 species
CUUCGGGGUGUUUNAAUGGAGAACGGGUGAGUAACACGUGGGCAAUCUGCCCUUCACUCUGGGACAAGCCCUGGAAACGGGGUCUAAUACCGGAUACGACACACGACCGCAUGGUCUGUGUGUGGAAAGCUCCGGCGGUGAAGGAUGAGCCCGCGGCCUAUCAGCUUGUUGGUGGGGUGAUGGCCUACCAAGGCGACGACGGGUAGCCGGCCUGAGAGGGCGACCGGCCACACUGGGACUGAGACACGGCCCAGACUCCUACGGGAGGCAGCAGUGGGGAAUAUUGCACAAUGGGCGAAAGCCUGAUGCAGCGACGCCGCGUGAGGGAUGACCGCCUUCGGGUUGUAAACCUCUUUCAGCAGGGAAGAAGCGAAAGUGACGGUACCUGCAGAAAAAGCGCCGGCUAACUACGUGCCAGCAGCCGCGGUAAUACCUAGGGCGCAAGCGUUGUCCGGAAUUAUUGGGCGUAAAGAGCUCGUAAGCGGCUUGUCACCUCGGAUGUGAAAGCCCGGGGCUUAACCCCGGGUCUGCAUUCGAUACGGGCAGGCUAGAGUNNGGUAGGGGAGAUCGGAAUUCCUGGUGUAGCGGUGAAAUGCNCAGAUAUCAAGAANANCACCGGUGGCGAANGCGGAUCUCUGGGNCGAUACUGACNCUGAGNANCNAAAGCGUGGGGAGCGGANA